UCUUGUGGAUGAGCAAAGAAAGUGGUUUCUUGAGAUAGAAUCCACUUCUGGGGAAGAUGUUGUGAA
rnacentral:pre_miRNA from 1 species